rnacentral:rRNA from 1 species
UACGAAGGGGGCUAGCGUUGCUCGGAAUCACUGGGCGUAAAGCGCACGUAGGCGGAUUGCUAAGUCAGGGGUGAAAUCCUGGAGCUCAACUCCGGAACUGCCUUUGAUACUGGCAACCUUGAGUCCGGGAGAGGUGAGUGGAACUGCGAGUGUAGAGGUGAAAUUCGUAGAUAUUCGCAAGAACACCAGUGGCGAAGGCGGCUCACUGGCCCGGUACUGACGCUGAGGUGCGAAAGCGUGGGGAGCAAACAGG